AACAGAAUUCUCAAUUACCGCGGA
rnacentral:siRNA from 1 species